CCGUCGCGGCGACCAGCAGCGCGCAGGAUCGGAAGGACUAUUCGGCGAUCACCGUCACCGCAGCGGGCGAGUAUUUCUUCAACAAGGAGGCGAUGAAUCUGGAGCAGAUCGUCGAGCGCUUGAAGGCCGUGAAAAGCGCCGAUGCCGAUCCGCGGGUCUUCAUCAACGGCGACGAGAAAGCCGAACUGGGCAAGGCCAUCGCGGUGCUCGACGAAGUCCGCAAACUCGGCAUCAGCAAAGUGGCCAUCGAAACCAAAGUGCAAUGAAUGCUCUCGCAGACAUGGCGGUUUCCGCCGCCUCGGCUUUGGUCAAACUGGAGCGAUUGAGCCCUGACUCGCGCCUGAACUCCACGGUGGGCUUUCUCGUCGCGAUCGGGUUUCAUGCAGCGCUGCUCUUUGCCUGGCAGCGUCCGCCAGCCGUCGCGGAACUGGUGGAGUUCGGUGUCGAGUCGGCGGAUACGAGCGU
rnacentral:misc_RNA from 1 species